AUUGAACGCUGGCGGCAUGCUUUACACAUGCAAGUCGAACGGCAGCACGGACUUCGGUCUGGUGGCGAGUGGCGAACGGGUGAGUAAUACAUCGGAACGUACCCAGUAAUGGGGGAUAACUAUCCGAAAGGAUAGCUAAUACCGCAUACGCCCUACGGGGGAAAGAGGGGGAUCGCAAGACCUCUUGUUAUUGGAGCGGCCGAUGGCUGAUUAGCUAGUUGGUGGGGUAAAGGCCUACCAAGGCAACGAUCAGUAGCGGGUCUUAGAGGACGAUCCGCCACACUGGAACUGAGACACGGUCCAGACUCCUACGGGAGGCAGCAGUGGGGAAUCUUGGACAAUGGGCGCAAGCCUGAUCCAGCAAUGCCGCGUGCGUGAAGAAGGCCUUCGGGUUGUAAAGCGCUUUUGUCAGGGAGCAAAUCCUUGUGGCUAAUACCCACCGGGGAUGAGAGUACCUGAAGAAUAGGGACCGGCUAACUACGUGCCAGCCGCCGCCGUAACAC
rnacentral:rRNA from 1 species